rnacentral:antisense_RNA from 1 species
UGGGCAGGCGCAGUGGUGCUGGGCACACGUGGAGCUGCGCGUGGAGGAGUCCAGGCUGCAGCCGAGGGAGCUGAGUAGGGCAAAGUUAGGAGUCGCUGUUUGGAUGGCAAGUUCAGAAGUUGGAACUUGUCUCAGUUUCCCCGCUCCAGAAAUGGGGUUGUGAUCUAAAGACAGGGACAUGAGUGAAGAAAACACAGAGCCACCCUGGAAAGCAAAGAAGGAGUGGGGAGAUCUGAGAAUCGAUACUGAACAGCUUCAGUACUACGAUGCCAUAAUGGGGCUGUGAGCUCAGCCGAAAGCCCCCCGCCCAGUUUUUUUUGGAAGUGGUCAUAGAAUCUCUCUGGAGAAACAACAUGGAAAUGGAGACCAAAAGAGGGAAGGAGGGAUGCCACCAGAUGACACUGGGAUCCCGGAAGACGGAACACUGUGUGCAACGGGCAAAGAACUUUUCAAAAGGGAUUUCAACCUCUGACCACCUGGAGACAGGCGACUGGCGCUCAUUGUAAAUGCACCGACAUGACAGGGAACAGCUGCUGGGGAGGUGGAGACGGGUGCGGGGAGAGACAGGAAACCCCAGAGGCUUGGAAAUCCAGGAGCCACAGGAAGCAGUGAGCUUUCUGCGGAGCCGGAUCCGGUGGAGCCAAUUCACCAGCAGGUCCCGGCAGCGACUCUUCUACAACAGAUUCCUGCCCGUCCCUGUGCCCCAUCGCCCCCCUGCCGUCAAUCUCCACCUCAAGGGAGCCAGACCAAGCCUUUCUGUGUGUAGCGCACAUCUCUCCUGCGUAGAGCUCACCUAGUGGCUUCCAUAGCUUUUUUUUUUUUUUUUUUUUUUUUGAGACAGGGUCUUGCCCUGUCACCCAGGCUGGGGUACGGUGG